CCUACGGGUGGCAGCAGUGGGGAAUUUUGGACAAUGGGCGCAAGCCUGAUCCAGCUAUUCCGCGUGUGGGAUGAAGGCCCUCGGGUUGUAAACCACUUUUGUAGAGAACGAAAAGAAACCAUCGAAUAAAUAGUGUUGCUGACGGUACUCUAAGAAUAAGCACCGGCUAACUACGUGCCAGCAGCCGCGGUAAUACGUAGGGUGCGAGCGUUAAUCGGAAUUACUGGGCGGAAAGGGUGCGCAGGCGGGUGAGUAAGACAGAUGUGAAAUCCCCGGGCUUAACGUGGGAAUGGCAUAUGUGACUGCUAGGCUAGAGGGUGUCAGAGGGAGGUGGAAUUCCACGUGUAGCAGUGAAAUGCGGAGAUAUGUGGAAGAACACCGAUGGCGAAGGCAGCCUCCUGGGACAUAACUGACGCUCAGGCACGAAAGCGUGGGGAGCAAACAGGAUUAGAUACCCCAGUAGUC
rnacentral:rRNA from 1 species